UACGUAGGCAGCGAGCGUUGUUCGGAGUUACUGGGCGUAAAGCGUGCGUAGGCGGCGCGGUAAGUCGGGUGUGAAAUCUCGGGGCUUAACUCCGAAACUGCAUUCGAUACUGCCGUGCUUGAGGACUGGAGAGGAGACUGGAAUUUACGGUGUAGCGGUGAAAUGCGUAGAUAUCGUAAGGAAGACCAGUGGCGAAGGCGGGUCUCUGGACAGUUCCUGACGCUGAGGCACGAAGGCCAGGGGAGCAAACGGG
rnacentral:rRNA from 1 species